rnacentral:rRNA from 1 species
CACGUAGGGGGCGAGCGUUGUCCGGAUUUAUUGGGCGUAAAGAGCUCGUAGGUGGUUCACUAAGUCGGGUGUGAAACCUCCAGGCUCAACCUGGAGACGCCACCUGAUACUGGUGUGACUAGAGUCCGGUAGGGGAGUGUGGAACUCCUGGUGUAGCGGUGAAAUGCGCAGAUAUCAGGAGGAACACCGAUGGCGAAGGCAGGUCUCUGGGCCGAUACUGACGCUGAGGAGCGAAAGCGUGGGGAGCGAACAGG